rnacentral:rRNA from 1 species
AUUGAACGCUGGCGGAAUGCUUUACACAUGCAAGUCGAACGGUAGAGGGGGCAACCCCUCGACAGUGGCGAACGGGUGAGUAAUAUAUCGGAACGUACCCAGUCGUGGGGGAUAACGUAGCGAAAGUUAAGCUAAUACCGCAUACGAGCUAAGGAUGAAAGCGGGGGAGCGAAAGACCUCGCGCGAUUGGAGGGGCCGAUAUCAGAUUAGGUAGUUGGUGGGGUAAAGGCUCACCAAGCCAACGAUCUGUAGCUGGUCUGAGAGGACGACCAGCCACACUGGAACUGAGACACGGUCCAGACUCCUACGGGAGGCAGCAGUGGGGAAUUUUGGACAAUGGACGCAAGUCUGAUCCAGCCAUUCCGCGUGCAGGAUGAAGGCCCUCGGGUUGUAAACUGCUUUUGUACAGAACGAAAAGGUCUCUCUUAAUACGGGGGACUCAUGACGGUACCGUAAGAAUAAGCACCGGCUAACUACGUGCCAGCCGCCGCAGUAAAAC